AUGAUUUUUGAUAUCGCUGUCUUGCUGAUUUCGUAGUGCUUGGCCACUUCUCGGUGCGUUUGACCGUUAUUCACAUCACAAACAACAAGUUUCCGGAUGGACAACGGAAUGGAACCAGAAAUUUAUGCGUUCUCCAUAUUUUACAACAUAUUCGAAUGUAGACACCUGUUUGAAUACUCCAGAGCCAAGCCAGUUGUUUAUGAAACGUCAAAAUACACAAAACAAACAAAUUGGCGAUUUGCAGCUCGAAACGACACUCAGAAGGCGCUGCGAUCAAAAUGAUGAUAUUAUCGAUCGAAACGUCAAAGCCAGUAGUAAUUUUCCAAAACAAAAGAGAAAUUUUUGAAAUUUCGGAGUUUAAAUGAAAAUAAUCGAAGAUUGGAUUAUAGAAUAAGUUUGCCAACCGAAAUCAGCUGCUAGUGCAGAAAAUACCUACUGAAUUUUUAGGAAUGAUCAAGAAAUAACUCAUAUGCGCCGAGUUCAAAUCAAAUGUUUCUGUUAUUUUUUAUACGAAGAAGUUCCCAGCAAAGUCAUCAAAGAAAUAAAAUUGUAGCAUUGAAUAAGGAAUCCAGGUUUGAGAUGUAAAAUGAUUAGUAAUAGUUCAAG